rnacentral:lncRNA from 1 species
GUGGCAGGGUUUUGUAGAUAAUGUCAAACAUUGUCUAUAUGGUAUCCAAUUUCAAAUCAGAUUUGAACAUACCAUAAAAUUAGAUUUUUAUCUAUUCUUGGAUGUGAGAUAGAGAGGGUGAAGAGCUCUUUUGCAUGGAGAAAACUCAUGCAAAAAAUUUUUGUGCGUGAUGAAGAAUGGCAUCCAAGUUUGGUGGUGCA